rnacentral:piRNA from 1 species
GAGGAAGGAAAGAAGCCCAGAGGGUGAUGU